rnacentral:tRNA from 1 species
GGGGUUGUAGCUCAGUGGUAGAGUGCUCGCCCUGCAUGUGUGAGGCACUGGGUUCAAUCCUCAGCACCA